GUUGAACAGGAUGUGGCACCCUAAGAGGACGCAGGCAUACAAGGUUAUUACCCAGUCCUUGUAUGCCUGGUGUCCCCUUAGUGGGACGCAGGCCUAGGUAGC
rnacentral:pre_miRNA from 14 species